rnacentral:rRNA from 1 species
UACGGAAGGGGCAAGCGUUGUUCGGAAUCAUUGGGCGUAAAGCGCGCGUAGGCGGCCCGGUAAGUCCGUUGUGAAAGUCAAAGGCUCAACCUUUGAACGCCGAUGGAUACUGCCGGGCUAGAGUCCGGAAGAGGCGAGUGGAAUUCCCGGUGUAGCGGUGAAAUGCGCAGAUAUCGGGAGGAACACCAAUGGCGAAGGCAGCUCGCUGGGACGGUACUGACGCUGAGACGCGAAAGCGUGGGGAGCAAACAGG